rnacentral:rRNA from 1 species
AGUGAACGCUGGCGGCGGGCCUAACACAUGCAAGUCGAACGGCAGCACCGUAAGAUCUUGCUGUUACGGGUGGCGGGUGGCGGACGGGUGAGGCGUGCAUAGGAAUCUACUCUUUCGGGGAGGACAACGUAGGGCGGCUUACGAUAAUACCGCAUACGUCCUACGGGUGAAAGCAGGGAAGAUUCGGACCUUGCGCGUUUGCUUGAGGCUAUGCCGGAUUUGCUAGUUGGCGGGGUAAAGGCACACCAAGGCGGCGAUCCGUAGCCGGUGUGAGAGGGUGAUCAGCCACACUGGGACUGGGACACGGCCCAGACUCCUACGGGAGGCAGCAGUGGGGAAUAUUGGGCAAUGGGCGCAAGCCUGAACGAGCAACGCCGCGUGGGUGAAGAAGGUCUUCGGGUUGUAAAGCCCUUUUGUUGGGAAAGAAAAGCUGCAAGAGUAACCGCCGGUGUUCUGACGGUACCUAAAGAAAAAGCACCGGCUAACUACGUG